CGCGCAGAUCUUGGCCAGAUCCCGCCAGCAGCAGUGCAUCUCCAUCUCGGCGCGCGGCGGUGCAUGUCUGAUUUUCUAUAGAAUUGUUUGCCGCCGCACUGCAGCCCACGUACAUGUAUGUAUACAUAUAUCCACCAUGUGUUGACAAUGAAGACGGUCACUUUCCUGACUUUCUGGGCUUACUGGACAAACGCGACAAGCGCGAGGAUCGAAAGAUCGGAAGAUCGCAAGCGGGAACGGCCCGAGAACAAAUAGAGUUUCAGAUCCUCAGUCAAUUCCCAUAGUCUGGUCGAUGCAGGCGAUCGCUCCAUCUCCAGCUCCCGCCGCUGACGUAGUUAUUGCUGUCGAUGCAUCUUAAUCUGCCCAGGCUGGCAUUUAAUCUCGUCCAUUGUCUUUCGACCACAACCAAUGAUCACGGCCAGGAGCUGCAAGCUGGGAAUCGCGAACUGGGCAUCUGGUAAUCUCAGCGAGAAGCUGGAAGGCUGCGAGAUGGGGCAGCGUGAGCAGCGGUGGAAUGUGUAUAUAAUUUGGUUACAGUGCUACUCUGCGACUCCUCUCUAUUCAAUUAGCGCAUUUUUUAGCGCAUUAGAUAAGGCGAAUUAAAUUCUCAAACGAUGCGACAUGGUGGCAAAAAGUGAAUCAGGGAAACAAUAAAGCAAUCAGCAUCUCGAUUGAUUUCUAUUGGAUUAA